rnacentral:rRNA from 1 species
AUGGCUUUGGUUACUGUGCAGGAGGGACAACUGAAUGACACCACUGUGGCCUAUGGCUUCAGCAAAAUGUUUGACCGGGGAUGGACUUGGAGAGCCAAAUUUCAGAGCCCAAAAACUUUCCUUAUGAGAUUUCCUAGUAAGGUCAAGUUGGUGGAGCUGAAAAACUUUGGCAAGUUCACCCUGCUUGGCACAGGGGCCAUGGUGGAGGUGGAUUUUUGGAGUCCAGAUGAUAAAGCAAAAGGGAAACUUCACUUAGUUUGGAUCAAGAUGUGGGGGGUUCCUGACACUCUAAGACAUUACCUGGGUGCAUGUGAGAUUGGUUCAGCUCUAGGGCCAGUGGUUGAAGUGGAUGUAGAACACAUAUAUUCCAAGGAAGAGAUCAGGGUGAAAGUGGGAGUGAGAGACCUACACAAAAUACCUGCUGGCACUGAGAUAAGUACUAAAGACCUGCUGCUUUAUGAUAUUAGUUUUGAGUUUGAUUCCAUUGCAGAACAGGGGUGGUACAAGUUUGAAGAAGGGAAUAAAAGGAAAAUCUUUGAUUAUCUUGACUUGGAAAGUUCUGAAACAUAG